ensembl:lncRNA
AAAAUGAAUCGUGGAAUUUGAGGUGCCCUGUGUGGCCCCAGGGGGUUGGGCUGUGCAGGACAUCCUUUCCCACAGGAGGGAAGACCUGCUGCAGCUUUCCAGCAAUGAACAGUCCUCAUUUUCCUGUUUGGUUUUUUUUUUGUUGUUUUGUUGCCUAUCUAGAACUCCCCUGAGCUGGAUGAGGAGGGAUACAGCAUCCGACCCGAGGAACCAGGAUAUAUCCUUUGGUUUUGGCUUUGCCUCUUGGGUUACAGCCUGUAACAGGAGCUGGGCUCACAGGCAGGCCCCUGGCUCUUUUUAUUUCACUGUUAGUAUUUAUUAUUAAUUAUAAUUCCUUAUUCCCACCUUUUGAUUUCCAUUUGGAGUUGGCUCUCCACAGAUAAAGCUGAAUCACCUGAGGCAUUUGAGUUGUCUUUGACUCACUGCUGUGGAAUAAGGAGUGGGGGAACAUCCCAUGGGACGCUCCAUGGAGACCAAAAUGUCUGUGAUUAUCCCAGGAAAAAGGAGGAUCAGGGAGGAGCUUCUGGCUGUUGAAAAGGAGGAUGGAGACAGGUGGGGUGGGAACAGGGACAGGAGCAGGAGGAAUGGCCUUGAAUUCCAAGGGAGGUUUAUGUUGGAUAUAGGGAAAAUUUCUCCAUGGAAAAGGGUGAACAGACAUUGGAACAGCUGCCCAGGGCAGGGGUGGAGUCCCCAUGCCUGGAGGGAUUUAAAAUCCAUGUGGAUGUGGCACUUGGGGAGCUGGGGCAGCACUGGGGCAUGGCUGGACCCGAUUGUCUCAUAGGGCUUUUCCAACCUGAACAACUCCAUGAAAUCCAGACAUGGAUUCAUAAAUCCAACCCUGGGGUGGAUUUAUCCCUGAGAGCAGCAGUUCCUCGUGCUCUGGCUGCACAGGGAUGCAGCAGUGACAGGCCCAGCACAGGAUUAUCCCCUCCUCAUUUUGGGAUCACCAGAUUCCCGCUCUCCAGCAAGCUGGGAACACCGAGGGAGGAAAAUUCCUUAACUGAGCUGUACCUACCAAAGGAAAGCACUUCUACUCCUCCAGCGAGUCGGAGGAGGAGGAGGAGGCGCACAAGAAAUUCAACAUCAAGAUCAAGCCCCUGCAGGCCAAGGAUGUCCUGCGCAGCGCCGCCACCGUGGACGAGCUCAAGGCCUCCAUUGGCAACAUUGCACUUUCUCCAUCCCCCGUGGUGUCUCUUCUCUCCCCUCUCGCUGACCGCAGCGGCGCAGCCCGGUAAGAACUGGGAUGGGGUCACGGGGGUCCCUGUCCUUGCUGGGCUCUGGGGGGGCACAGGGCGUGGGGACAGCUGCCCGGGGGGCACAGGGCAUGGGGACAGCUGCCCGGGGGGCACAGGGCAUGGGGACAGCUGCCAGGGGGGCACAGGGCGUGGGGACAGCUGCCAGGGGGGCACAGGGCGUGGGGACAGCUGCCCGGGGUGCCACACAGCCCCUCGUGUCACCCCAGUUGUGACUGUGUUCCGAGGAUAAGGGGAGAGAUCUGACUCCACAUUUCAGAAGGCUGAUUUAUUAUUUUAUGAUAUAUCUUAUAUUAAAACUAAAAGAAUAGAAGAAAGGAUUUCAUCAGAAGGCUGGCUAAGCUAAGAAUAGAAAGGAAAGAAUGAUAACAAAGGUUUGUGUCUUGGCCUCUCUGUCCGAGCCAGCUGACUGUGAUUGGCCAUUAAUUAGAAACAACCCCAUGAGACCAAUCCCAGAUGCACCUGUUGCAUUCCACAGCAGCAGAUAACCAUUGUUUGCAUUUUGUUCCUGAGGCCUCCCAGCUUCUCAGGAAGAAAAAUCCUAAAGGAAGGAUUUUUCAUAAAAGAUGUUUGUGACACCCAGUGAUAGCACAGGGGGCCUCAGCGAUGGGGAUCCCUGGAGACCCCACUCUGGCUCUGGGGUGUCCCCAUUCCCAUGGCUGGGAGGGUUUGGCUUCUGCCCCACGAGCCCCUGGCACAGCUGGAUGGCAGUGCAGAGUGCCCAUUCCCAGAGGAUGUGCCCAUUUGUGCCCAUUCCCAACCCCUGUG